UCGCGAUAGUGCCUGCUACAAUAGCUACUGAUCUGCAUAACAUCACAUAGACUGACAGUGGGAAACUGAUUCUUGUAAAAGAAUAAAACAGAUACAGAUUCAACGCUGAGGUUUGAUGUCUUGAUAACGGCAAUCUCAUCUCAAGCCCCUUUCCAAGGGAACACGUGUGUCCACAUCGCUCACCCACAGGAGAUGAGUAGAAUCUUUGCAGUUGAAUUUAAAGUUGACUGCAGUAUACAGUUGUUAAAGCUGACACCCUGGGAUCCUUGAAGAAGCUGCUUGAUGAGAUUCCGGGAUCAAUAAGCU